rnacentral:rRNA from 1 species
GGCAAGAGCUCAAAUUUGAAAUCUGGCUCCUCCGGGGUCCGAGUUGUAAUUUGCAGAGGAUGCUUCGGGUGCGGUCCCCGUCUAAGUACCCUGGAAUGGGUCGUCAUAGAGGGUGAGAAUCCCGUCUGGGACGGGUGGCCGUGUCCGUGUGAAGCUCCUUCGACGAGUCGAGUUGUUUGGGAAUGCAGCUCUAAAUGGGUGGUAAAUUUCAUCUAAAGCUAAAUAUUGGCCGGAGACCGAUAGCGCACAAGUAGAGUGAUCGAAAGAUGAAAAGCACUUUGAAAAGAGAGUUAAACAGCACGUGAAAUUGUUGAAAGGGAAGCGCUUGCGACCAGACUCGCCCGCGGGGGUUCAGCCGGUACUCGUACCGGUGUACUCCCCCGUGGGCGGGCCAGCGUCGGUUUGGGCGGCCGGUCAAAGGCCUCCGGAAUGUAUCGCCCUUCGGGGCGUCUUAUAGCCGGGGGUGCAAUGCGGCCAGCCUGGACCGAGGAACGCGCUUCGGCUCGGACGCUGGCGUAAUGGUCGUAAGCGGCCCGU